rnacentral:rRNA from 1 species
GUGAGGAAUAUUGGUCAAUGGACGGAAGUCUGAACCAGCCAUGCCGCGUGAAGGAUGAAGGCGUUCUGCGUUGUAAACUUCUUUUAUCAGAGAAGAAACCACUGAUUUCUAUUAGUGUUGACGGUAUCUGAUGAAUAAGCACCGGCUAACUCCGUGCCAGCAGCCGCGGUAAUACGGAGGGUGCAAGCGUUAUCCGGAUUUACUGGGUUUAAAGGGUGUGUAGGCGGGCUAUUAAGUCAGGGGUGAAAUCCCGGGGCUCAACCUCGGAACUGCCUUUGAUACUAUUAGUCUUGAAUUAUGUUGGAGUUGGCGGAAUAUAACAUGUAGCGGUGAAAUGCAUAGAUAUGUUAUAGAACACCGAUUGCGAAGGCAGCUGGCUAAACAUAUAUUGACGCUGAGGCACGAAAGCGUGGGUAGCGAACAGGAUUAGAAACCCGAGUAGUCC